rnacentral:rRNA from 1 species
AGUGAACGCUGGCGGUAGGCCUAACACAUGCAAGUCGAACGGCAGCACAGUAAGAGCUUGCUCUUACGGGUGGCGAGUGGCGGACGGGUGAGGAAUACAUCGGAAUCUACUUUUUCGUGGGGGAUAACGUAGGGAAACUUACGCUAAUACCGCAUACGACCUACGGGUGAAAGCAGGGGAUCUUCGGACCUUGCGCGAUUGAAUGAGCCGAUGUCGGAUUAGCUAGUUGGCGGGGUAAAGGCCCACCAAGGCGACGAUCCGUAGCUGGUCUGAGAGGAUGAUCAGCCACACUGGAACUGAGACGCGGUCCAGACUACUACGGGAGGGAGCAGUGGGGAAUAUUGGACAAUGGGCGCAAGCCUGAUCCAGCCAUACCGCGUGGGUGAAGAAGUCCUUCGGGUUGUAGAGCCCUUUUGUUGGGAAAGAAAAGCAGCAGGUUAAUACCCCGCUGUUCUGACGGUACCCAAAGAAUAAGCACCGGCUAACUUCGUG